rnacentral:tRNA from 1 species
GGGUGCNUGGCGCAGUUGGUAGNCGCGUCUCCUUUGCAUGGAGAAGGUCAUCGGUUCGACUCCGGUUGUGUCCA